rnacentral:rRNA from 1 species
GGAACCUGAUGCAGCACGCCGCGUGAGCGAUGAAGGCCUUCGGGUCGUAAAGCUCUGUCCUAAGGGAAGAUAUAGACGGUACCUUAGGAGGAAGCCCCGGCUAACUACGUGCCAGCAGCCGCGGUAAUACGUAGGGGGCAAGCGUUAUCCGGAAUUACUGGGCGUAAAGGGUGCGUAGGCGGUCAAAUAAGUCAGGGGUGAAAGACUAUCGCUCAACGAUAGCAAGCCUUUGAAACUAUUUGACUUGAGUGCAGGAGAGGAGAGUGGAAUUUCUAGUGUAGCGGUGAAAUGCGUAGAUAUUAGAAAGAACACCAGUGGCGAAGGCGACUCUCUGGACUGCAACUGACGCUGAGGCACGAAAGCGUGGGGAGCCAAACAGGAUUACAUACCCUGGU